GGCGCUCCACGGGCACCUCCAGGCGGCGGGGGCGGGCGGCGGCGCUCGAGGGGACCGAGGCGCUUCCCGGCCGCCUGCGCCGUCCACGCGGUUUACCGGGGCCAGCACGGGCUGAGCCGGGAGGCGCCGAGCCCAGCCCGCGGCGGGGGCGCAGCACCAACGGCCGCGCUCCCCUCAGGCCCCGAAAGGGGGGCACCCAGCCGGCACUCCCGCCCCGCCCCGCCGGGGGAAAAACCCAGCGUUUAGCCCCAAAGAAGAACCUGCCCAUCCGACAGACGUGCGGGCUGCACCGAGGCCGCUCUGCCACCGCCGCGCCCGGAACGUUCCAGAAGGCGCCGCGCCGCCGAGGCCGUACCCCGAACGUUCCAGAAGAAGCCGCCGCGCCGAGGCCGCUCCGCCGAGGCCGCACCCCGAACGUUCCAGAAGGCGCCGCCGCGCCGAGGCCGCUCCGCCGAGGCCGCACCCCGAACGUUCCAGAAGGCGCCGCCACAUGAGGCGCCCGCGCCGCCCCGCCCCGCUUUUUUAAACGCGCUGUUUAAGCGGCCACAGCUGAGGGCGCUCAGCCCCCCCCCCCCCCCCCGAGGCGGGGGCGGCCCCCUUCCCGCCCGCCUGAGGGCGCCGCCGCGCCGGGGGUUCCCGCCUGGCCGCCCCCGGGUUUUCGGCCUCCGUAGCAGGCUCUUAUUCUCCCGUUUUUUCCCUUAAAAAAGCAAGCUUUUCUUUUCCCCCGCCACCUGAUCCGUCGCGUUAAUUUCCUUCCUAAUUGCCGCCUCUCGAAUCCGUCUCUAAUUACGAAGGAAGGCGCUUUAAUUCAGGCUUGAGUUCAGCUCGGGCCUGCACAAAUCCGCCCUCACCGAGCUCGUGCCAGAGCCUCCCCAGCCUGUGCCCAGCCGCGGCGGAAGACGCAGAGGAAGGAGCCGGACGGUGACGCUGGGGAGCCCCCCCCCCCCCCCCCCGCAGGGAGCCGCUUGGCGCGGGAGGACAGGUCAGAAAUAGAUGUCGUGGGUCGGAUCCUGAGCUGGCGUAAACGAAGAGAGUUCCACAGUCGGAAAUGGAAUCGAUGGGAUAGUGCCAGCUGCGGAUGGCUCCCUUCCUAGGAGACAAACCAUUCAGCAGGUCCCUCAGCAUCCUCUGCAGCUCAGCAGAGCGGAUCUCCCUAAGAGGCUUUCAGAUGCUUUAUCUUCCUGGGAAUCACAAUAAACCAGGCAUGUGUGAACCAAGCCCAGACUGUCAGGUGGAAGAAUCGAUGGCUUUUCCUUUGGCUGCUUGUGCAGGAAGAAGACAGCUGUGGUCUUUACAAGCCCUUGACAAGUGAUUUUUCCAACAAUCGGAUGGGAGAACGUGCUCUGUUACGUUUAUAAUUGACAAUAUACCACCGUUGAAGUAUGCCUGUCAGUUCUGCAGUAGCAUCCGAAGGCCCCGACUGAGAUCACAGCCUUAUUGUGUUCGGUGACACGGCAUGGCAGAGCUGAGCUGGGAGAACGGCACAGCCAAGCUCCCGCGAUACCCAGCACCCCUCCAGUGCCCAGGCUCUGGAGCAGCUCCGGACCUGCCCCGGGGCAGGAGGAGAACGGCCACUUCCGAAGAGGCAGCUCGCAUGCAGUCUGGAGGUCCUCUCCCUGCGCUGCUGAUGACGCCGGAUGAUAGCAGCACAUGGGUAUGGUCGUGCUUUGCCACUCUCUUACCUAUAUCUUUGCAUAGGUGUCCUUGUAAGCAAGAAAGAAGGCCGUGUUUGUGUGAGGAGGCAAUAUGAGAGCUGCAGCUCCUUUGCCGUGCAGCGUGGAGCCUGGGAACUUCUGCCACUUCAGCCCAGCUAGUUUCCCAGUGUCCGUGGGUGGAUGUCCUUGUGCUGGACUGAGUCGCUCACCUUCGUGAUGUUGGGUCUGUGCCAGCCCUGCCUACACCAGACUCAGCGGCAGACACCAGGAAGGACUCCCCUUGGAAGUUUUCACUCUUCUUGCUGUUUUUGGGAGAGGGCAGCAAGGGCCUAGAGAGAGGAAGGAGGAAUCAUUUAGGAUACAGCAGCAGAAGAAAGAAGAAAGAAUUCUUUUUUCUUUACUUAAAAAGAAAUCUCAGCCUUCCUGGAGAGAAGAAAAGAAGGGGAGGGAGGUAGAUGCACCACACAAAGAGAAAAAAAUGUGCUGAGAAACCACAAGGCAUUUAAAAGCUAACAUAGGAAACCAAACCCACUUUGAUAUCCCCUCUCAUUGGAAACAUUUGAGGACAGAAUAAUGCUGCCAUGAUUUAUCAAAUAAAGGGAUGAGAAUGUGAGUGGCUCCAAGAGCUCCUUUCUGGUUCUUAGGACAAAAAAUGCUUUGUAUUAAAUUACAGUGUAUAAGGAAAAAAACCCUUAAUAAAGUGUCUAUUUGCAGGCACAUAUUUGUUGAGCAGCUGCGGACUUUUGGCAGCGACACAUACGCCCUUCCAAGAACAGGCACCUGUGAAAGCAGAGGCCGUCCAGCAGGAGAGCAUCCCUCUUCUUGGACUUGUAAGAACAUUUCUGCACUGCUUUGCUCGUUACGCACUCCUGAACUGAAUGCUUCUGGGGUAGUGCUUCCCAGACCACCCAGCUGAUCAGGAGCCUCAGGGCCUUUUCAGCAGUGACUUGGGUCCUGGGGACAUCGCUGGUCUGCUCAAGAGCAGCGUCAGCCAGGAGCACUUUAAUCAUCUUCAGGGAGCUGUCGUGGAAAGCCUUGCACAACACAGCAAGGCACAAGAAGAUCAAGGAAUUUUCCCACACCAGGAGCCUGUGAACUCGAAGUAACCCUCUUCCAGGCCAGAGCCGUAUGCCCCAAAGCAUCGUCUGUGCCUUAAUUUCAUCUCUCCUGCUAUUUGUCCAACAGCUCAGCUUGAUAGCCUUUAUUUUAUGCUUGUUUAAGUUAAUUUUAUAAUCAGUGGACAGAAGAGGCAUUUCGGCUUGAUGGUCACUUACAGCUGGGUACGAUCAGGACAGCUGUAAAUUGUGUCUAGUUAAUGAGCAGUGAACAGUUCAAGCAAUGCUGAUGUUGAGCUGUUCCUGUCUGUUAGAAGGAGAACGCUCCGUGCCAAAUGGUAAAUUUGCAUGAAAGGAAAAUUGCCCUGCUUCUUUCCUAAAUACUGAGCUGAAUGUGACCUGAGUCCUUCAUGAGAUUAGAAAAAACUCAGCCAACUAUUUUCCUUAAAUGUUCAUCCAAAUAUAUUGUGGAGGGGUUACUACUGAACAAAUGAAAUACAGAGCUGCUUAAAAAUCAGCUUUUUCACAGGGAAAUGUUUAUUAUAUACUGUGCAUUUCUGGGUUGGGUUUUUUUUCCUGUUGGAAAAAAAAAGCUCAAAAUGAACAUUUUUUAAAAUGAUGGAAAAAUCAAUGUUACAAAAAUAAAUGCUUCAUUUUUCAUUUAA